GAAUUUUGGACAAUGGGGGAAACCCUGAUCCAGCCAUCCCGCGUGUGCGAUGAAGGCCUUCGGGUUGUAAAGCACUUUUGGCAGGGAAGAAAAGGUUCUGGCUAAUACCCGGAACUGCUGACGGUACCUGCAGAAUAAGCACCGGCUACCUACGUGCCAGCAGCCGCGGUAAUACGUAGGGUGCAAGCGUUAAUCGGAAUUACUGGGCGUAAAGCGUGCGCAGGCGGUUUGGCAAGAAGGAUGUGAAAUCCCAGGGCUUAACCUUGGAACUGCAUUCUUAACUGCCAGGCUAGAGUAUGUCAGAGGGGGGUAGGAUUCCGCGUGUAGCAGUGAAAUGCGUAGAUAUGCGGAGGAACACCGAUGGCGAAGGCAACCCCCUGGGCCUGUACUGACGCUCAUGCACGAAAGCGUGGGGAGCAAACAG
rnacentral:rRNA from 1 species